GAAACACAGUCUAAUGUCUCAAAAUCAAACUGUGAAAGCCCUAAGUCUUUGCUGAAGAAUUCAGUGGUGAAACUGCAGCUCUCUGAAACCUCUGAGACAACUGGUAUGCUUGCAAAUAUUGCAAAGGAAGAAAAGGAAGACAGAAUAGUGAGUUGCCAGAAGGAAGGACCAGGAAGAAGAACAGCUUUCAGUUUAUGAAUGUUUGUGUUAGAAUGACAAAGUACAUAUAUCCAAGGGAGGCCAGGCAAGGUAAUCUUACUGAAGACAUUCUGAGGCUGGCAACGUUCUUCUUAUUCCCAACACUUUGUUAAAGUCAAAGACUUUCUAAAAUAUGUAUCUGCAGGUAAUAUUCAGUCCUGUUGAACUGUAUUUUAAAAGUUUUAUAAGGCUAUUCUUCAAAAAACAACCAAGUGAUAUAUAUAUAAAAAAAAGAACAGUAUUUGAAAAUUACAGGAAAUUAUAGACUUUGCUCUUGAGAAUGUGUUCCCAAAUUUUUGCUCUUUCUUUACUCCUUCACUAGCAUUGCAACCAAAGCUAUCUGCAACUAGCAGUGGAUUCAGAGAAAAAGAACAAAACUGUGCAUUAGUGACUACUACAAAGAAAACAGGAAAGAGAGGACAUGUCAUGGAAGACAUCUGCUAUUAGCUCAAACAAGAAGAGCAGACAUUCUUCUGGGAAUAUUUGAGGCAAUAUUAAAUCUGAAUUGAGACAACCUAGGCAAAGCUGUCUGCUGGCAGGAGGGAACACUGCAGUUUCUAGAAGCGAGGACAGAAUCUGACCUACGGAUAUAAGGAGAUGACUGGAAAACAAAAACAGCUUGGAAGCCUUGUAUUCACAGAUGCUUUUAUUCUUGGUAUACCAUUCAAUUAAACAUUCUCUGAGAAUGUA